rnacentral:sRNA from 1 species
AGAAAGAGCGAGAGGGAGAAGAUAUGAGAUAUAUAUGAGAUGUCACACGUAAUCCCAUAUGAAAAUGGGGCUUGAACGGUGACUUAGAAUAUUUGGCUAGACAAGGCGCCCUUCUAGACGCAGCACUAAUGAAGGAGUCUCUGGACGAGGAACGCAUCUUUACCGGCUCUGAACAUCACCGAUUUCAAAUCGAACAGCGAGAGGGAUUUAUUAAUUAGCAAAUUUGACAUUUUCCAUCUACACACACACAGACAUACCCCCCACACACACACACACAUUUUUAAUGAUAUUGAAGUGCAUACACGAGUUUUUAAAGGCAAAUAUAUAUAUUUUAUAUAUUUAUAAAAACUAUAAAAUCGCAAACAUGAAUACGAAUAUGAAUAUGGCAAGCAUUAGCCGUUCAACGCAUUUUCUUAUUGGCUUUAAUGUUUAAAAAUUAAAUAAAGUUACGGCAGAAACCGAAAAUCUUUGUGCUAGGCGUUGUAAUGGAAUACACUUUUGCUUUUAAUUUGAUGUAGUUAUUAUAUAUGUACAUGUACGAAGGAUACUUAUUAUUAAAUGAAUCGCUUAUUAUUGUAGUUUAAUUUAAGCAAUUAUACAAACGCAUGUGAAAAAGGGGACGCAAUGAAAUAGUUGAAGCGUGGCAAAUGAAAUGCUUUUAAAGUCUCAUUUUUUUACAAGAACCAAGCAAACUUUUUUCGCUUGCAUAUUUUAACAGUGAAAUAUACAUAAAUAUACAAUCUGAAAAGCAGUGCAUAGAUCAAAUUUAAAGCAUAUACAAACAACAUAUGAAAUUAAUUCACAUAGAAAUACCAAAAAAACAGCCAUUAAGUGUAUCGCUAAUUUUCGUAAUGCACAUCUUGCGUGAACGAGUAUUUGUCAAAGAACCUACUUAUUGAAAGGAUUUAAACGUUUUAGCAUCACCACUGUAAUGGAAUAUGAAUAAAA